ACAUGCAAGUCGAACGCUUUGUGGUUCAACUGAUUUGAAGAGCUUGCUCAGAUAUGACGAUGGACAUUGCAAAGAGUGGCGAACGGGUGAGUAACACGUGGGAAACCUACCUCUUAGCAGGGGAUAACAUUUGGAAACAGAUGCUAAUACCGUAUAACAAUGACAACCGCAUGGUUGUUAUUUAAAAGAUGGUUCUGCUAUCACUAAGAGAUGGUCCCGCGGUGCAUUAGCUAGUUGGUAAGGUAAUGGCUUACCAAGGCGAUGAUGCAUAGCCGAGUUGAGAGACUGAUCGGCCACAAUGGGACUGAGACACGGCCCAUACUCCUACGGGAGGCAGCAGUAGGGAAUCUUCCACAAUGGGCGAAAGCCUGAUGGAGCAACGCCGCGUGUGUGAUGAAGGGUUUCGGCUCGUAAAACACUGUUGUAAGAGAAGAAUGACAUUGAGAGUAACUGUUCAAUGUGUGACGGUAUCUUACCAGAAAGGAACGGCUAAAUACGUGCCAGCAGCCGCGGUAAUACGUAUGUUCCAAGCGUUAUCCGGAUUUAUUGGGCGUAAAGCGAGCGCAGACGGUUAUUUAAGUCUGAAGUGAAAGCCCUCAGCUCAACUGAGGAAUUGCUUUGGAAACUGGAUGACUUGAGUGCAGUAGAGGAAAGUGGAACUCCAUGUGUAGCGGUGAAAUGCGUAGAUAUAUGGAAGAACACCAGUGGCGAAGGCGGCUUUCUGGACUGUAACUGACGUUGAGGCUCGAAAGUGUGGGUAGCAAACAGGAUUAGAUACCCUGGUAGUCCACACCGUAAACGAUGAGUGCUAGGUGUUUGAGGGUUUCCGCCCUUAAGUGCCGCA
rnacentral:rRNA from 1 species